CACUCCAACGGUAAAGACUAGAAAUACAGAUGUCCUCCCCACGGGUGAAAACCCUCGAAAUCACCUCUCUUCUUCUUCCUCUUCCUCUCACCUUCAUUUCGCUUCUCUUCACGCCCAAAAAUUACAGAAGAAACUCUCAAAACAUCGCCAGAUCUGCGAAGAGGGAGUGAAGGAGAAGGGGAUCAAUCUGAAGGGUUCUUGUAGCCUCGAUGAAGGAGAGACGGUAGAGCACCUGCAGGAUGGCCGCGAACGUGAGGAGGAGCAGUUGGACUUGGAAAUGAAAGGAAAUAGUGAAGGUGUGAUAAAAAAGAUUGUUGCAGAAGGCAAUUCUCGAGAAGCAAAGCCAUAUGCUCAUUGGGAGACAUGAUAUUGAUAAUCUGUUGCGACUUGAUCUAGCCAGUGAAUGUUUACCGAAUGCACUAGAUCAAAGAAUCAGAGAAGACAUUGGUUCUGAUUCUGAGUCCUCUGGAGUAGAAAUGGAAUUAAGUAAGAUACUACUGGAUUUGAGGCCUAUCAGACCGGUAAACAUGCCCUUAUCGGGUAUUAUCACUAUAUCUAAAUGCAUAAUGAAACGUUCAUUCACAGACUCAAUAGAAAGGCAAGUAGUCCUAUCUUGUUAAGUUUGUGAUCUUCAUCAGCUUUUGGUGCCCGUGGACAGAUUUCAUUACUUCCGCAGCAUUUAAAUAGUUUGGUAGGUAGGGAUGGAAACUAUGUGCUAUGCUAUAUGAGAAUACAUUAGUUGUCUU